rnacentral:rRNA from 1 species
UACGUAGGGUGCGAGCGUUGUCCGGAAUUAUUGGGCGUAAAGAGCUCGUAGGCGGUUCAGUAAGUCGGGUGUGAAAACUCAGGGCUCAACCCUGAGCUGCCACCCGAUACUGCUGUGACUUGAGUCUGGUAGGAGACUGGAAUUCCCGGUGUAGCGGUGAAAUGUGUAGAGAUCGGGAGGAACACCGGUGGCGAAGGCGGGUCUCUGGGCAUUUCCUGACGCUGAGGCGCGAAAGCGUGGGGAGCAAACGGG